UACGAAGGGGGCUAGCGUUGCUCGGAAUUACUGGGCGUAAAGCGCACGUAGGCGGUCUUUUAAGUCGGUGGUGAAAUCCUGGAGCUCAACUCCAGAACUGCCUUCGAUACUGGAAGACUUGAGUCCGGGAGAGGUGAGUGGAACUGCGAGUAUAGAGGUGAAAUUCGUAGAUAUUCGCAAGAACACCAGUGGCGAAGGCGGCUCACUGGCCCGGUACUGACGCUGAGGUGCGAAAGCGUGGGGAGCAAACAGG
rnacentral:rRNA from 1 species